rnacentral:rRNA from 1 species
UGCAUUGGCGCAGCUACACAUGCAAGUCGAGCGGUACGGACAGGAGAGCUUGCUUCUCUGGGGGACGAGGGGCGAGAGGGGUGAGUAAUGUGGGGGAAAUGGCCGGAUGGAGGGGGAUAACUCGGGGAAACGGGGGCUAAUACGGCAGGUUGUUUGAGACCAAAGUGGGGGACCUUCGGGCGUCUUGCCAUCCCAUGAUUCGCCCGAGACGGGAUUAGCUAGUAAGUGAGGUAACGGCUCACCUGAGGCGACGAUACCUAGCCGGUAUGACAGGAUGGCAGCCAUCGGGAUGACUGGACACUGAGACACGGUCCCAAUCUCCUACAGGAAGACAGCAAGGGGAAUAUUCUGCACUAUCUGAACGCAAGCAUGAUGCACCCAUGCCGCGAUGUGAUGAAGAAGGCCUUGCAGGUGGUAAAGAUCACUUUAGCCGGAGAAGCAAGGCGCUAAGGUUAAUAACCUGUAACAAUUGGCGGUACCCAGCAGAACAAGCACCGGCCUAAAUCCGGUGCCCACCAGCCGCGGGUUAAAUACUGGAGUGGUCCAACGCGUUAAUCGGAAAUUAUCUGGGCGUAAAGGCGCAGCGCAGGCGGUCUGUCAAGUUUCGGAUGUGAAAUCCCCGGGCUCAACCCUGGAGAACUGCAUUCGAAACUGGGCAGGCUAGAGUAUAGUAGAGAGAGGGUAGAAUUCCAGGUGUACCGGUGAAAUGCGUAGAGAUCUGGAGAGGAAUACAGAGGGGCAAAAGCGGCCCCCUGGACAAACACUGACUGCUCAGGUGAAAUAAGCGUGGAGAGCAACACAGGAUUAGAUACCCUGAGUAGAUCCACGCCGUUAAACGAUGUCGAUAAGGAGGUUGUGCCCGUUGAGGCGUGACUUCCGGAGCUAACGCGUUAAAUAGACCGCCUGGCGAGUACGGCCGCAUACGUUAAAACUCAAAUGAAUCUGACAGGGGCCCGCACAAGCCGUGGAGCAUGUGUGUUUAAUUCUGAAGCAACGUCGAAGAACCUUCACCAUGAUCUUGACAUCCACAUGACCUUCCUCAUGAGCAUGGCACUAGAUGCUCUUCACGACACUGUCAGACAGGUGACUGCAUGGCUGUCGUCAGCUCGUCGUCGUCUAAAUGUUCGGUAUAAUGUUCCCGCUAACGAGCCCCAACCCUUAUUCUUUCGGUGGCCAGCUGGUCAGGCCGGCUAACUUCAAAGGAGCAACUCCACAGUGACUAACCUGGGACGAAGCGGGGGAGGACGUGCCAAGUCUUCACUGCCCGACUCUACGACCCAGGGUCUACCCACGUCUACCAAUGCCAUAUCCAAAGAGAACGAACUCUCGACGUAGAGCAACGCUGUAAUCCUCAUAAAGUAUUUCUAGUCCGGAUUGGAUUUUGCAACUGGAUUCCAUGAAGUCGGAAUCGCUUGUAAUCGUAGAUCAGAAUGCUACGGUGAAUACGUUCCCGGGCCUUGCACACACCGCCUGUCACCCCAUGGGAGUGGGACGCAAAGGAAGUAGGUAGGUUAACCUUCGGAACCGCCCGUACGCACGUUGAUACAGUUGUU